rnacentral:rRNA from 1 species
UCUCCUGGAAAACGGGUGGUAAUGCCGGAUGCUCCAGUUGAUCGCAUGGUCUUCUGGGAAAGCUUUCGCGGUAUGGGAUGGGGUCGCGUCCUAUCAGCUUGACGGCGGGGUAACGGCCCACCGUGGCUUCGACGGGUAGCCGGCCUGAGAGGGCGACCGGCCACAUUGGGACUGAGAUACGGCCCAGACUCCUACGGGAGGCAGCAGUGGGGAAUAUUGCACAAUGGGCGCAAGCCUGAUGCAGCGACGCCGCGUGAGGGAUGGAGGCCUUCGGGUUGUAAACCUCUUUUAUCGGGGAGCAAGCGAGAGUGAGUUUACCCGUUGAAUAAGCACCGGCUAACUACGUGCCAGCAGCCGCGGUAAUACGUAGGGUGCAAGCGUUAUCCGGAAUUAUUGGGCGUAAAGGGCUCGUAGGCGGUUCGUCGCGUCCGGUGUGAAAGUCCAUCGCUUAACGGUGGAUCCGCGCCGGGUACGGGCGGGCUUGAGUGCGGUAGGGGAGACUGGAAUUCCCGGUGUAACGGUGGAAUGUGUAGAUAUCGGAA